AUCCAGCUGACGAGUCCCAAAUAGGACGAGAUGCACGUCCUGGAU
rfam:Schistosoma rodhaini strain Burundi genome assembly, scaffold: SROB_scaffold0000274